ACGCGAUUAAGUGAUAAUUUUCGUAAAAAUGUAUACAUUACAUAGUUGAGUGCUCAAAUUAAUUUAUAUUUUAAAAUUAACUUUUUACGAUGACUUCAUUAAACUAGUUAAAAUAAUUUGUUAACUUUCCAAGCUUUGAUUAUUACGAUAUAAUAUAAUGUUAUUAUUAUUUUACCAAAAUGAUGAUGAAUUUACUGACAAUGACCGACAGUCCGAACUAAAUGUAUAUUUUCACAUUACUGCAAUGGUUAGAUGUUUACGUCGUCGGUAAACUAUUAAUUUAAUACAAUAAUAUUACAUGAUGUCCGUGUUAUAACACAUAAUGACCAGUUUUAUAUAGAUUUCACUAUAGCCUGUAGGCACCUAUUACCUGCUAUAAUUAUUAUUUAUAUAUUAUAUUACGCAAUAAACCGAAGCCUAAUAAUGUUAUUAAUUAUUAUAUUGUAUUUUACG